GCACUACAGAAGCAGCACGUAAAUACUGGAGCUGGGCUGCACCGACAUAUCCAGUUUUACUGUUCUGCUCCAGUAAGGC
rnacentral:pre_miRNA from 1 species